rnacentral:lncRNA from 1 species
AACCAUUGACAGGACAGCACCCAUGACUCCACUAACCGGGCUAAUGCAUGGAUUUGGACUGUACUGUUUGUUAACAGUGCCUCUAAUAUUUUCACGUGGCGAGGCGCUGCAGUGCUAUGGCUGUAACAUCCUCCAGGGCCAGAGGUACGUGGACGUGGGCUGCUCCAGCCCAGAGGUCAUCACUUGCUCCCACUCCCACAAAGGCUUCAAGCACCGCUUCUGCAUUAGGACAGAGAGCAACAGCCGUUACAGAAUUACCCACCAACAACGGACCAAGCAGCAGAGGAAGGAGCAGCACAAGGAGAGGCACCAGGAGAAAAGCUAUCUGGAGUCAUGGACUUGGGAGGAAAUCCUGGACGGGAAAGGACCAUGGACUCAAGCUGGGGAUUAUCGCCGCCCACAGUGGGAGAUCGAGGCGGCGAGAGCUGAGAGGCGCUGGUAUGAGGAGAGGGAGCGCAACGGACACGGGAGGCAGCCCCACAAUUUUUUUGGGGGGGGGCACACGGGGAGAUUGGCGGAGU